GCGUUGAUGUCCGAGUGGUUAAGGAGUUUGACUCGAAAUCAAAUGCGCUCUGCCCGCGCAGGUUCGAAUCCUCCUCGCUGCG
rfam:Ascaris lumbricoides genome assembly, scaffold: ALTE_contig0015607